GAUGAACGCUGGCGGCGUGCUUAACACAUGCAAGUCGAACGGUGAACAAGGGAGCUUGCUCCCUCCGGAUCAGUGGCGAACGGGUGAGUAACACGUGAGCAAUCUGCCCUGGACUCUGGGAUAAGCGUUGGAAACGACGUCUAAUACCGGAUACGAGGCGUGGGGGCAUCCCCAACGCCUGGAAAGAACUUCGGUCCAGGAUGAGCUCGCGGCCUAUCAGCUAGUUGGUGAGGUAACGGCUCACCAAGGCGACGACGGGUAGCCGGCCUGAGAGGGUGACUGGCCACACUGGGACUGAGACACGGCCCAGACUCCUACGGGAGGCAGCAGUGGGGAAUAUUGCACAAUGGGCGCAAGCCUGAUGCAGCAACGCCGCGUGAGGGACGACGGCCUUCGGGUUGUAAACCUCUUUUAGCAGGGAAGAAGCGAAAGUGACGGUACCUGCAGAAAAAGCACCGGCUAACUACGUGCCAGCCGCCGCGGUAAUAC
rnacentral:rRNA from 1 species